GGACCAGUAGCGUUGCGGUUAACGCAUCUUCGUAUCAAGGAGACGGCUGCGGGCUCGAUUCCCGUCUGUUCGU
rnacentral:tRNA from 1 species